AUGUAGCUUCCCCAACCCCCUCAGUGAUCCUGUUCUAGUUGUUUGUUGAAGAUUUGGGUUACUUUUAAAGCAUAUCUAAGCAUGCAUAAGAUUCUCAAGCAAGGCACUCGUGGCUGUCCAAGGUUCCAAAUUAAUAGAAUAGGUCUAAAUAAUGAAAAAUGUUAUAGACAUGUUUUCUUCAGUCUUUGAUUACGCUAUUAGUUAAUAUAGACAUGUAAGUAACAUUUUUAAUGUAAUUAGCUAAGAUGGAGCUGAUUCCCUAUUAGUGGGUGAACAAUCCAACGCUUGGUGAAUUCUGCUUCACAAUGAUAGGAAGAGCCGACACCGAAGGAUCAAAAAGUCGCUAUGCACGCUUGGCCGCCACAAGCCAGACAUCCCUGUGGUAACUGUUCUGACACCUCCCCACCUGCCACUGUCCCGGAUGGAUGGAUGGAUGGAUGGAGCUGAUUCCAUAGGCUUUUUAUGGUUAGAGGGUUGCGUAGCCACAUACCUUUUUAAUUUAAAGUACACUGUAAUACAUGAUCUAGGAAUUUAGUGGAAUCAACUAAGCUUUUCUUGUUAACGUAAAUAUGUAUAUUUUGGUCAUUUUAAUUCAACUUAGGAAGUCUAAUUUUAAAUUUUCAGACCACUUUAUAACUUGUAAACAUGGUUUGUUCCAUCUUGAGGUAUUUCAAUUUGAAACUAGAGAAAUACAUUGCCUGUCGAAAAUGCGUAUAGAUGCUGAUAUGCUGAAGGAUCGCCCUGAAAUCAAUUGCUGAAAUAGCUGAAGCAUGAGAUGUAGACGACUGUGUAUUAAAAUGACUUUUGUUUAAUAAUCUGUUUCCAAACUACUUUUCUGGAAGAAAUGGACACUGUGCUCUGGACUCAAGAUAAAAAGGACCAUCCAGACUGUUGGCAGCAACAAGUCCCAAAGCCAGGGGUCUGUCAUGUUCUGGGGUUGUACGCUGCAGGUCACUGUAUGCCACAACAACCAGACACAAAGACAGUUUCCUUCCCCGGGGCGGUCAAUCUGAUGAACAGUUAAUCCAUAUUUAAUCUGUAGAACAAGAUACAUGUAGCCCAAGUGUGAAAUGCUUGAACAAGUUCAUUGUAUGUUAUGAAAGGGUUAAUAUCUUGGUGCCGCUGGUUGACUGUGAGCUGACCAAUCAGUAAGCUGAAUGGAACUUGGUGCCGCUGGUUGACUGUGAGCUGACCAAUCAGUAAGCUGAAUGAAAUUGUUGGCGCGCACUAGUUCCGCAUUCCAAUGUCUAUGUUUUCCAGUUUUCUUUGCCUCUGCACGGGUACCCCGCCUGCAUGCUGCUCAGAGAAAUAGCAAGAACCCUUUUUGUGUCAAUUGCGUGGAAAGACAUUGUAGAACGGGGCGCAUAACCAAAGCACCCGCCGACCAGCUGACGUAAAAGAGAAAAGAAGUGUGAUAACUACUCAACG